rnacentral:tmRNA from 2 species
CCCCUUCAAAGACGACGUCCCCUGCCCUAUAUUCACCUUGUCCUUCGGGACUAUGGACAUAAAUGCGCUCGUAAUAAGCGGAUCGGACCCGGGGGCGGUACCCGGCGGCUCCACCAGAAACCGUUCAUUUGGCGGUCACGGGGCCGAAACAGGAUCGACGAACGUGUAAAGGGGUUUGCUUUGUCCCGGCGGUCUGCCACCGUUAUCGGCGAGAAAAGUACAAUUGCAAAUGACAAUCGUGCUCCGGUUGCAGUUGCCGCGUAAGCGGUAACAAGACCGAAAACUGAAGUCCCCGGGCCUAGCCGCCCGUGGCGGGGUUCGCAGGCACCUGGCAACAGAAGCCUGCACU